GUCUCCCAGGGUCUCAGGAGGUGCUCUAAGCAGCCAUCUAUGUGGUUAGAUGUUUAUGAGGCUUGUCCAAGCCUGUGUCCUGUGGAGCCCUGAGUGGUGUUGCUGGUUCCUAAACUGGGAAGACUUGGAGAUUUAGGAGUCACCUACAGAAAUGCCUUGUUAAGAUACAGAUUUUACCAGACUUACAAGCAUCUCAGAACAUUACUUGGUGAUUAAAUGUCUUUGGAUAUCCAAGUGAGAAUUUCAUAAGGAUACUGGCGAUUCCUCUCUUCUUCCGAUAGCUCUGCUGGUGAAAUUCCUCUGCAGCGUUUUUCCUGAUGCAGCAUGAAGAAUUUUCCAUACAUUUCUCCCACCAUUGUAUCAGAUUCUUUGGAUCAAAUUCUUGCUUGAGGAUUGUCCCGUCAAUCGGUUUGCACACUUUUAACUCUCCGAGCUGGUGGAUGAAAAUGCCAAAUUUCACAAGAUCCACAGAGAGCGAGUCCAUGAUAGAGAUUAGCUAUAAAUGAUUAUGGAAUCAGUGUGAAAGAAUACAUUGAAAAUAAAUUAAGCAUUUAAGAGACGAUGUGAUUUUGAGAAUUGAAAGACUGUGCCUCUAUCCAAAGGCCUUUUUUAGACAAUUAGAUCCUGCUACCUUCUCUGGUGGCAAGUGGCAUUCAGCUGCCACAGCUGCCAUCCAGGUCUCUAUUACAAAUGCUCCCUGGGGAAAACUGAACCCCUAGAAGGCCACAUUGGACAGCAAAUUGGUCUUGCAGGCUCAGCCUCAGACACGCAGGUUGGGAAUCUUAACAGCAUUUUCCAGUUUGAGCAAAGCAUAUUCUACUACCUGAAAAGUGCUCCAAGGCGAAAAAUGGAUUAAAAUCAUAAAAUCUGGAUUGAUGCCACCUUAAGAAGGCACUAACCAAAUUCCCUGUCCAGGCAGGAGAAAUGCCAGCCCUUCUGAGACGUGUGUCUCUACUGAAUUCUCAGUGCUACCACAGAGAGGAAUCCCAUGAGGUUCCAGGCCACCUGCUUGAGUGACUACUUCAUUUUAACUUACAUGCAUUUUACAUAUAUAUGUCUGUAUUUAUAUGGGUAGAUAAAAGAUAUUUCUGCCAUUUAAACUGAUUAAUGUUCUCCAUUUAAGGUCAGCUUUUUUUAAAUUCCCUGACACCCCAAAAAUAUUAUCAGAAUUAUGGACACUUAGACUUUUUUUUUUCCUUUAGGCUGGAAACUUUAGUUUCUUUAGAAUCUUUUCCAUGUUUUCCCUGCAUACUUAAAACAUGAAGGCUAAGCAAGGCCCAAAGUUUCUGAUAACGACCCAACCAAAGCAUUUCUGUAUGGACAGCACAGAGUGACUCUCCCGAGUCACUGGGUCUGACUCCAGGUGGAGAAAAGAGUGAAAGAACAGCUCUGCCAGGCAGGUGCUGUCCUUUCCAAGUUGUUGUGGGAUUAGAACAAACUACUGUUGCUAGAUCUCAGGACAGCAUUAUAUGCAUAUUUGUUAUUAAAUUAGAAUGCAUCUGUUUUGGGAAUUAAAAAUAACUUUACAUCUCAUAAAACUGUGGAUGAGUGGGUCAUAAAAAUUCCACCGAUAGCAGAGUGGGCUGUGGGUUUCUAGCCAAGGGCUCAGUAGAAAGCAAAGGUACCAGGUGGGGCCUCCCUCUGAUGAGAUGAGCAGGUAGAAAAGAGAUGAGUUUUGAAGUUUCUAGAAUAGGCAGAAACACUGGGGGAAAAGGUGGUAUCUUCAUAUCUAUUGUUCACAGAUUAGAAGUCAGUGAAAGGGGGAGGGCCGAGAUGUGAUUUUUGGAGCAGCAGGGCGCUGGGCUGAGCGGGUGCCUGGGACAGGGCCGGGCUCUGGCAGGAGAGGAGUUGCUGGCAGUGUGCAGGGCAGAGGCUCCCCUUGGCAUGAGCAGAAGAGAGAUUUGCCUGGGACGGGCCCAAACCUUAGCCCUCCUUCCAGAUGCCGAGCGUGUCUUUCCCUGACCCCCCCACUGGCCUUGCCUAGGCGAGGGUGUUGGGAAGGAAAAGAGGGACCCGUGACUGAACUCUGCUCUGGGGGAGUUUUCUGGGGGGCAACCCGAGGCAUUCAUCAAACGGACACGCUAUGACUAGGCUGCAGCAAAUGGAAAGUGAUCGUCGGGCGCUCUACUCGACAAAGUGCCUCAGAGCUGCAGGGCCAGCAGCUCCCUGUCCCCUCACAGAAGGAAGGCGGUGGGAUCUGGAAGCUGCGUGAGUCAUCUGGCUCACAAUUGGCACUCCAUGCAACGUGGGCAUGGGCUGUGGACUAUACUAUACUCUAAGAAACCUAUACUCUAUACUCUAAGAAACUAAACUCACAUUUAGUCAAUCGUCACAAAUAAGUGGAACCCCAGAUGUUUUUGUAAGUUACAUGCCAUUUCAGAAUCAUCUGGUGUGUAGCCUCCGCUGAUGUGAUAUUCAGUGACUGCUGCCUCGACUUUCCCAAUGCUCGAUCUGUGCGCAGUACACAACGUUUACUUCUGUGAGCGUGCAAGGUCCAAGCACGACAUCCUGGGCAUUAGAAAAGUGCAAGUGGGAGUCCCUUUCACUCCUGGUAAUGGGGGUUUUCUGACUGCUGUGUACCACAGCACACAGAUCCCCAUCUUCUGGACUCGGGGCAUCGUGUGCCCAGACCCCUCUCUGGCUGUUCAUCCUGAGCUACCAGUUCAUGAUGAAGAUGGUAUUUAACCUGCUCCACGUGCACAUACUUUUCUCCCGCAGGACAGGUGCCAUGUGUUAGAUUUCUCUGUGUCUCCUGUAACUCUUAGCAUAAUGCUUUGUAUACAGUAGGGGCUCAAUAAAUCCCUGUCUUUGGAUUUGGAAAGAACUCUAGAGGUCAUCUGCUCCGAACUCUUCCAGUGCAGGCUGCCCUCUGGAACUUAUUGUACCCGGGUCCCAAACAACCCUAGAGACUCAGCCUCAGGCGUCCGGGUGAGGCUCGGGGGUCUGCGUGUCACCAGCAGCUCCGGGCUCCACGCGGGGUCCUCCGGCCACCCCUACAGAAACACCAAACUGCCCAUGGUGACGCACUGCUCCGUUGUGGAAUCAAUGGAUUCGGUCAGGAUCCACAUACCUAAGAGAAGAAACAGAAGAGAAGGAAAGAGGAGAGGAGGGUUUGAGAGGAGAGGGGCAGGGAGGGCAGAGGAAGCAUCAAUGUUAUGACAUGUAGCAGUCGUAGUGAGUGUUGUUGGUGAGACAGUGUGCGUGUGUGUGUGUGUGCAGGGGUGCAUGUGUGUGUGUGUGCACCUGUGUGUGUGCGCGCACACACUCGGGGUCCCAUCGUAAGAUGUCCUUUGUGUGUCCUGGUAAAACAGUUUGAAAGCAGGACAAGCGCAUCCCUUCCUGCUGGCGGGAAGAGCACGUGGGAAGCUCGGCGCAGUGCUGGCUGCUGUCUCGCGGUAGGGACCCACCUGUGCCUCUCUCAGAGCAGCGAAUGGUUCUGCUCCCUCUUUCCACGCUCUUCAGAAGUUUGCAGAGGGGCAGUGUCCUGGGAGGGCUGGCAGGGACUGGGCUGCCUAACCCGGCCCAGGAAGCUGGUGAUGUGUCAGGAUGUGGCAACAGGAGCUGUCAAGACAUGAGGCAGAGAGGGAGGGAAUCCUAUAUCCAGUGAGCCCCAGCUCAGAGGCCGGCGGGAGGGGACAGGAGUGAGACAGGAGGGGCGGGAGAUUCUGUCCUGAGUGGCCCAGUUGCUGUGCUUUGCUUUGUUUUAGGCAUCCAGGAGUGCAGUCCUUCUCCCUGGGGCACAUCCUAUCUCCCGAGGGUGGCCCACACACCCUGAGCUCUUUUCUUCUUUAGACUAAGCACACUGAAUUUUAAUGGCACAGUUCUCAGUCUGUCACUGCUCUGGUUGACUCAAUUGAUACUCCCUGGUAGGUUCUAUUACAGGACCCUGAACAGGUCAUUUAUCUGUUGAAAGAGCAACCUCUCCAAGGAUAGCAGCUUAUUUAACCCUUUUUCUGCCUAACCACCCCCUUUAUAAUGUUGGCCGUCACACACUUCCUUUCAGCAUGGAUUCAUUGAGCAUCACCUGUGUGCCCUGCAUGUGCUAGAUACUGGGAAAAUCCAUGCAAAAACAGGACCCUUCCCCCUAUAAGAACCAGGCAUCUGGCAGAGAGCCAGGCUUGUCACCUGUCAUUUGAUUCGGAAUGAGUUUGUUCAAGACUAGAGGGCUGCGCCAGGCAGCCAGGAGGCAGAGUCAGCACCUGGCACUGGGGACACACACGGUAAUUAUGGUAAUUACAGUAACUACCGUGCUGAAGGAGCAAGCUGACUCUACAGGGAGUCUGGGCUCCUAGGGAAGGUGAUAUCCCAGCAGAGAUUUGCUUCUAGUCCACAGCAGAGUGAGAAGCCACGCAGCUUGUAAGUUAGAGUUGAUAAAGCUCUGCAUGAGAACCGAAAAUCUUCUCUGGCAGACUGAAAUCCCUGGGGCUUAGUGCUGGAGUUCUGCGAGGCUUAUUUUAGAUUCUUAGCAGUAUUUUCUGCUCCC